rnacentral:rRNA from 1 species
UACGUAGGGUGCGAGCGUUGUCCGGAAUUAUUGGGCGUAAAGAGCUCGUAGGCGGUCCAUCACGUCGAAUGUGAAAUCCCGGGGCUCAACUCCGGGCCUGCAUUCGAUACGGGUGGGCUAGAGUUCGGUAGGGGAGACUGGAAUUCCUGGUGUAGCGGUGAAAUGCGCAGAUAUCAGGAGGAACACCGGUGGCGAAGGCGGGUCUCUGGGCCGAUACUGACGCUGAGGAGCGAAAGCGUGGGGAGCGAACAGG